rnacentral:rRNA from 1 species
CUUGGUCAUUUAGAGGAAGUAAAAGUCGUAACAAGGUAACCGUAGGUGAACCUGCGGUUGGAUCAUUACCAAAACGGACUGUUUCUUCAGUCUCGUAAACCUCUUGUGAACUUGUAUUAUGUAUUUCUGACGGUAGGGCUAGAGUCCGUGUUAAAUCGUUACCAGAUCCGGAGAGGCGACAGUAGUACCUGGGUCCCGGUGACGGCCGUCGGGUGUAUUUAACCGAACCUACGUAUUUUUUUUUGUCUUGCUUUAUUCCGCUCUAACCGGCGUGAGUAAAAUCCAAAUUAAAUACAACUUUUGGCAACGGAUCUCUUGGCUCUCGCAACGAUGAAGAACGCAGCGAAAUGCGAUAAGUAAUGUGAAUUGCAGAAUCUCGUGAAUCAUCGAAUCUCUGAACGCAUCUUGCGCCCGUUAGGGCAUGCCUGUUUGAGUAUCACUUAAAUUCUCACCCCCCUCAUCGAGUAAUCGGUGUUGGCGGUGGAUCAAUGAGGUUCCAUUCAGCUUAAUUGCUUUCGAUUGGUGCCUUUAAAGUCACGUUGACUUGUGCUUCAGGCAGAUAGCUAGUAGAUUGAAUCGUUCAUUCUUCUAGUGUUCCCCACUCUAAGCGAGAACGUCUUUGUGCGUUUAAACUCAAAUUAGGAUCGGGGUCUGUCAUUUGGAGGUUAGAGGCCGCUUGUCCCCAUUCGGACUUUGUGGACUCUGGUCAACACAAAGCUGUGUUCCGGCUUAAGCGUUACCCGCUGGCCGGUUAACCCAACAAACUCUUGGUCUCAAAUCAGGCAGGAUUACCCGCUGAACUUAAGCAUAUCAAUAAGCGGAGGA